UCCCAUGUAGAUCACCAUUGGAGAACUUCUACUUUGGAGUCUCAUCGAGAUAUCAAGAUUACCAAUUUAUGGUCUUCAUGAUGGUAUAUGACUUCUGAUCUUCUCAUAUUAUGCAUGCUUUUGAUAUUUGAUUGUAAUCAUCAAGGGGUUCCUAGGGCUUUUGUGUUCCGAUAGACUAGUUUAAAUAUUAAACUUAUUUUCAAUAGUUGAAUGCAUGUAAAAAUUUUAAAAUUCAUAUUUUGCUAUGUCACCAGAACCCAAC
rnacentral:lncRNA from 1 species